GAUGAACGCUGGCGGCGUGCCUAAUACAUGCAAGUCGAGCGAACAGACGAGGAGCUUGCUCCUCUGACGUUAGCGGCGGACGGGUGAGUAACACGUGGAUAACCUACCUAUAAGACUGGGAUAACUUCGGGAAACCGGAGCUAAUACCGGAUAAUAUAUUGAACCGCAUGGUUCAAUAGUGAAAGACGGUUUUGCUGUCACUUAUAGAUGGAUCCGCGCCGCAUUAGCUAGUUGGUAAGGUAACGGCUUACCAAGGCAACGAUGCGUAGCCGACCUGAGAGGGUGAUCGGCCACACUGGAACUGAGACACGGUCCAGACUCCAACGGGAGGCAGCAGUAGGGAAUCUUCCGCAAGGGGCGAAAGCCUGACGGAGCAACGCCGCGUGAGUGAUGAAGGUCUUCGGAUCGUAAAACUCUGUUAUUAGGGAAGAACAAAUGUGUAAGUAACUAUGCACGUCUUGACGGUACCUAAGCAGAAAGCCACGGCUAACUACGU
rnacentral:rRNA from 1 species